GGAAAUUUUUAUUUAUUUAUGUAUUAUUUGCUGUGGGGGUGGUGAAGCACUGGAAGCCUUCACCCACAGAAGCUGUGGAUGCUCCAUCCCUUGAAGUGCUCAAGACCAGGCUGGAUGGAGCUCAGAGCGACCUGGACUAGUGGAAGGUGUCCCUGCCCAUGGCCAGAGGGUCAGAAGGAGAUGAGCUUUAAGGUCCCUCCCAACACAAACCAUUGUAUAAUUUUAUGAUUUAGUUGCUUUAGCAUUAUAGUACUGCCAAUAUAAAGGUCUAACUAAUAUGGGAUUAACAUCUGUUCUGCAAAGUUAACCAGCUUACAAUUUAGCAACAAAAUGAUUAAGAUUUAAGUUGUAAAAUUCAUUUAAAAAACAAACAAGCAAAAUCCUUUCUUCAGGUAUCAUGCCUUACAUUAAAGGGAUGGUGACUUGAAAGAAGAGCACCUCUCCUCCAAGACUACACAUCCCAGAAAUCCUCUGUGCCGAGGGCUGCUGCUCCCAAAGUGACUCCUCUAAAGAACUCCUCUCAAGAGCUCACUACAUCAUCAUGAGCUGAGCCAGGAUGACUGGUCCCUGCUCCUCGCUGCCUGCUGGGGACAAAGCUGUGCAAGGCUCCAGGAGAUGCUGCUGGUUCCUCUGUGCAAAGCCCUGACUGCAUUCAGCUCAGCUGGGUCUGCACAUGGACAUCAUCUUCCUCCAGGCAUUUUAGCCAUCCUCUGUGCUAAUUACACCGUGAGAUUCUUGGGAUUAUCCUGUUCAGGGCCAGCAGUCGGACUCCAGGGAUCCUUGUGGGUCUCUUCCAACACAGAAUAAUUUAUAACUCUCUAUUCCUCUUUUUGUGUCACCCACUUCCAGAGGACAUUCCUUGAGCUACACCUUUAAGUUUCUCAGUGGUUAAAAAGGAGUCAAAAUGCUGUUUCAGGUCAGCUCAUUCUUAUUUCAACAAAGACAGACUUCCAGCUCCAAGCAUGUCUGCUCAAAUUCAGAUCUCACAAAGGCUUUGCAUGGAGUGAUCACCAAAGCAGGAACAGACCUCGAGUUGGAAAACCAGGAUCUGUGUAACCAGGAGCAAGUUACAGGACUGUCCACGGUGCAGGAAUGGGGAGUGACACCUAAAUUGCUCUUACAGGAACUAAUUUUCAAGGUAGACUUAUGAUGAUUUGUACUAAUUAUAUUUGAAACAUUUGCUUAUACCUAAAGAUAGUCCAGAUUCUGAUCAUAUAAACCAGUUGUCCCUUGGCACCCAUAGUUUAAUUUAAUGAGGAUUUACACCUCUUAUGCUGCUCACUGAGAGGAUGCUCUGUUUCUCCUGUGCUAUUGUGGAGCAAUACUGUGAGAAAUGCUUCCCACAGGCACAAAGGUUUGCAGACCAAACACAGAAAAUGGGUGGGUUUCGUUCCUGUGUGUGCUGAAAAGCUCAGCCCCACACACACGUGGAGGGGCCCAGGGCACAAUGGCAAAAUGUUUAAUGUGGGAUGUUCAGGAAUGAAACCAAAGUUGAUGGAAAUCCUAACAGAACUGUCUCAGACUUCAUGUUUCUGUUGCAUUUAUUCAUGAGUAAAGAUAAUUCAGUCUGAAGAUGCACUAGGAGUUAGGUCAGGUCUACUGAAUUCAUUACAGCUUUGAUGGAAUUGUCUAUGAUGUAUCAG
ensembl:lncRNA